GCCAUCUCUCCAGCUCCCAAAAUUAGCCCUUUUUAAAAUUAAGAAUUGGUCCAGCAUUUGGGAGGCAGAGACAGGUGGAUCUUUGUGAGUCUGGUCUACAGAGUGAGUUCCAGGACAGUCGGGGUUGUUAGACAAAGAAACCCUGUAUUGAAAAAUCAAAACAACAACAAAACAGCCGGAAGAGGGAGACUGCUCAGUAGUUAAGAGUAGUUGCUGCUUUUGCAGAAGACACGGGUUCCCAGUACCUACGUAGUGCCUUACAGCUACCCCUAGCUCCAGUUCCAAAGGAUCCAAUGCCCUCUUCUGACCUCUUCAGGCACCAGGCACACAUGAGUGUAUGCAUACACAUAGACAAAACAUAAAGAUAAUAAUUUUUUAAACAUUAAAAUUAUUCAAAACACUUCAUAAAUACGGGCAUUCUCUGUCGCUAAUACUUUGGCCUUUUUCUUUGCAAGAAUCAUCUUUGCAAAGCCAAGUGUGAGCCUGGUCUACAGAGUGAGGUCCAGGACAGCCAGGGCUACACAGAAAAACCCUGUCUUGAAAAACAAAACCAAACAAACAACAAACAAAGUCAAGUGUGAUGGCUUUGAACCGCACAGCAGAGGCAGGUAGAGCUCUGAAUUAAAGUCCAGUCUGGUCCACAGAGGGAGUUCCUGGACUCCACAGAAAAACCCUGUCUUGAAAAACCAAACAAAGAAAAAAGAGAGAGAGAGAAGAAUCCUGUUUUCACAGUCACACGAUGGCUUCUGAGAUUCUGAAGGGACAGUUCACUUGGCCCUUGUGUACUCACUCUCAUUUAUGGAGUAAUUUCUGCCUGGGACCUGAGGUGCCUGCCUCAUUAGGUCACAUCCUGAGAUGGACCUGGGAACAAUAGAGAAGGUUAGCUGUCAGAAUGUUACAUUUCAAGCCAGAUGUGGUGUGUGCUUAUAAUCCCGGAGCUCCGGGGAUUUAGAGGAUUGAAUUCCAAGCCGCUCGGGGCUGCAUAAUGAGGCUCUGUUUCC
rnacentral:lncRNA from 1 species